GUGCCUACGGGGGGCAGCAGUAGGGAAUCUUCCACAAUGGGCGAAAGCCUGAUGGAGCAACGCCGCGUGGGUGAAGAAGGUCUUCGGAUCGUAAAACCCUGUUGUUAGAGAGGAAAGUGCGUGAGAGUAACUGUUCACGUCUCGACGGUAUCUAACCGGAAAGCCACGGCUAACUACGUGCCAGCAGCCGCGGUAAUACGUAGGUUGCAAGCGUUAUCCGGAUUUAUUGGGCGUAAAGGGAACGCAGGCGAUCUUUUAAGUCUGAUGUGAACGCCAUCGGCUUAACCGGAGUAGUGCAUUGGAAA
rnacentral:rRNA from 1 species